rnacentral:tRNA from 1 species
CCAGUAGCUCAGCUGGAUAGAGCACCUGCCUUCUAAGCAGGCGGUCACAGGUUCGAAUCCUGUCUGGUU